rnacentral:rRNA from 1 species
UGUGGAAUAUUGCACAAUGGAGGGAACUCUUAUGCAGCGACGCCGCGUGAACGAAGAAGGCUUUCGAGUCGUAAAGUUCUUUUAUAUGGGAAGAUAAUGACGGUACCAUAAGACAAAGCCCCGGCUAACUACGUGCCAGCAGCCGCGGUAAUACGUAGGGGGCUAGCGUUGUCCGGAAUCACUGGGCGUAAAGGGUUCGCAGGCGGAAAUGCAAGUCAGGUGUAAAAGGCAGUAGCUUAACUACUGUAAGCAUUUGAAACUGCAUAUCUUGAGAAGAGUAGAGGUAAGUGGAAUUUUUAGUGUAGCGGUGAAAUGCGUAGAUAUUAAAAAGAAUACCGGUGGCGAAGGCGACUUACUGGGCUCAUUCUGACGCUGAGGAACGAAAGCGUGGGUAGCAAACAGG